GAGGUGUGGGGAACACUGGGUCUGUCUUACUGUGUUGAGGUGUGGGGAACACUGGGUCUGUCUUACUGUGUUGAGGUGUGGGGAACACUGGGUCUGUCUUACUGUGUUGAGGUGUGGGGAACACUGGGUCUGUCACUGUGUUGAGGUGUGGGGAACACUGGGUCUGUAGUCUGUCUUACUGUGUUGAGGUGUUGGGAACACUGGGUCUGUAGUCUGUGUUGAGGUGUGGGGAACACUGGGUCUGUCUUACUGUGUUGAGGUGUGGGGAACACUGGGUCUGUAGUCUAUCUUACUGUGUUCAGGUUUGGGGAACACUUGGUCUGUAGUCUAUCUUACUGUGUUCAGGUGUGGGGAACACUGGGUCUGUAGUCUAUCUUACUGUGUUGAGGUGUGGGGAACACUGGUUCUGUAGUCUAUCUUACUGUGUUGAGGUGUGGGGAACACUGGGUCUGUCUUACUGUGUUGAGGGUUGGGGAACACUGGGUCUGUAGUCUGUCUUACUGUGUUGAGGUGUUGGGAACACUGGGUCUGUAGUCUGUGUUGAGGUGUGGGGAACACUGGGUCUGUCUUACUGUGUUGAGGUGUGGGGAACACUGGGUCUGUAGUCUAUCUUACUGUGUUGAGGUGUG
rnacentral:lncRNA from 1 species